rnacentral:rRNA from 1 species
AUUGAACGCUGGCGGCAUGCUUUACACAUGCAAGUCGAACGGUAACAGGCCUUCGGGCGCUGACGAGUGGCGAACGGGUGAGUAAUGCAUCGGAACGUGCCCAGUCGUGGGGGAGAACUAUCCGAAAGGAUAGCUAAUCCCGCAUACGAUCUGCGGAUGAAAGCGGGGGACCUUCGGGUCCUGAGCGACUGGAGCGGCCGGUGUCAGAUUAGGUAGUUGGUGGGGUAAAGGCUCUCCAAGCCAACGAUCUGUAGCUGGUCUGAGAGGACGACCAGCCACACUGGGACUGAGACACGGCCCAGACUCCUACGGGAGGCAGCAGUGGGGAAUUUUGGACAAUGGGCGCAAGCCUGAUCCAGCAAUGCCGCGUGCAGGAAGAAGGCCUUCGGGUUGUAAACUGCUUUUGUACGGAACGAAACGGCUCUGGUUAAUACCCGGGGCUAAUGACGGUACCGUAAGAAUAAGCACCGGCCAACUACGUGCCAGCAGCCGCGGUAACAC